CAUUUAGAAAUAAUAUUUUAAGGACACGGAUUUAAGGUGAUGAUCAUCGGUAAAAGUAAGAGUGGUAAAAGCAGCCUGGGCAACUACCUUCUCAACACCUCCGCCUUCAGUGUCUCCCCUGGACCGACAUCAGCCACCACUUACACCGUGACGCGGUCAGCUGAGAUAGAUGGCGUGGCCAUCACAGUGACUGACACACCUGACGUGAGAAAUCUUGGUAUCGUCAAGACGUCUGCCGAGGAAGAAAUAAAACAAUGGUAUGCUUUUCAUCCUGACAUCAUUUUGAUGGCCAUUCGGUGGGAUGUGUGCUAUUCAUCCGAGGAACACCAGAUGUACCAGCAAAUUAAGAAAGCCUUGGGAGAGAAAUAUUUCACUUCAAUACUAAUAGUGGCCUUUACCUUUGGAGAUCGCCUGGGCAAAAACAUUGACGAAGAACUAAAAACAGUUUGCUCAGAGGUGAAAGAUGUGCUUAAAGAGGCAGGACAUCGCUACAUUGUGUUCAGCAACGAGGAUCCAGUACAGGACAGGAAGACACAGUUCAUGCGUCUUAGAGCGUUUGCCUUUAAUGAAGGUGCUCCAUUUGAAUGCAAUGAAAGGCACUCUGAGAGUAGAACUGCGAUCAAACCAACAGUUCAAGGAGCAUCAGAGAAGCACCAUGGUGAUAAGUUUCAGCCCUUGAAAACAGUAAAAGUUUUCACAUGCGAAACAGAUUUUCAAAGUAGAGUCAGCGCCCAGUCCUAUGUCGAAACGUCUUAUUACCAGGGAUAUGAAAAGGAAAUGAAAGAAAGGUCAACAUUCUGUGACGCUCUAGACGAUGAACGCUACAACUUGGUUCUCUUUGGAAAGACGGGCAGCGGGAAAAGUUCUUUGGGUAACAUGCUGCUGGGUAAGGAUGAGUUUAAAGUACAACAAGGAAUGAAGUCUGGAACUCAAUCAUCCGAUUGGGGUCAAGCUACAAUUAACGGAGUUAAACUCGAGAUUACGGAUUUACCAGGACUGAGUGACACACAUCGCCAAGAGGAAGAAAUCAUACGGGAAAUUGCAAAGGGCACGGCGCUGGUUUCUCCUGGACCCCAUGUGGCUAUUUUUGUCAUUGCGGGUAGUCGUCGUUUCUUAAAGGCAAUAUCACUGAAAGACAUUUUACUGCCACAAGUUUACCUAAUCUCCUUCUACAUCGUUUUUUCUUCCUUUACCUUCGCAUCAAAUAGCUUGGAGGUAGAAAAGAAGCACUAUCCCAUGCAAUCAUAAAUGCUCCUGAUAGUAUCCAACUAAUUCUUAAAGAAGUGGGCUAUCGGUACAUUGCAAUCGAAAAUUCUGCAUCCGAGAAGGAUAAGAAACAACAAAGAGACGAGGCCCUGCAAGCUAUUAGGAGCCUGUGCGAAAAGAACCAAGGGAGGUACUAUGCUGUUCCAAAGGAGAUACACAGGCUCAUUGAGAAAGCAGAAGAAGAUAAGGUGAAGGCACAGAGAUGCACCAUGAACGAAGCAGCACAAAAUCUGAGGAAGGAAAUAG
rnacentral:misc_RNA from 1 species